rnacentral:rRNA from 1 species
AGCCAACUAGCUAGCCCACCUUAAUAAAAUCAUCAGCCUACUAAUCCUACCCCCCAAUACACCUCAACCAUCUAAAUUAAACCAUUUUCCCUCUUAAGUACGGGAGACAGAAAAAGAACUUAGGAGCAAUAGAAAAAGUACCGCAAGGGAAUGCUGAAAAAGAUUUGAAACAGAUUAGUGAAGCCCACUAAAGCAGAGUUCAAACCUCGUACCUUUUGCAUCAUGAAUUAGCAAGAAUAUUCCAAGCAAAGAGUCCUUUAGUUUGAAGCCCCGAAACUAGGGGAGCUACUCCAGGGCAGUCUAAUAUUUAGGACACCCCCGUCUCUGUGGCAAAAGAGUGGGACGACCUUCGAGUAGAGGCGACAAACCUAUCGAACCUAGUUAUAGCUGGUUGCCUGAGAAAUGAAUAGAAGUUCAGCCUUUUAAGUUCUUCCCUCACUUACCCCUAAUUAUAUCUGCCAUGAUUUAGAGAGAUAAAAGAAAUUUAAAGAGUUAGUCAAAGGGGGUACAGCCCCUUUGAAUUAAGAUACAACUUUCCCAGAAGGAUAAGGAUCAUAGUAAGCUAAGGCCUAGUGUCUAGGUGGGCCUAAGAGCAGCCAUCCCCUCAGAGAGCGUUAAAGCUCCGACACAACUCAAGCCCCCUAUGCUGGUAAAUUAAUCCCAAUCCUCCAACCCUACCAGGCCGCCCCAUACCCUUAUGGGCCCGAUCAUGCUAGUAUGAGUAAUAAGAGGGCAGACACAGCUCUCUCCUUGCACGCGUGUACAUCGAAAUGGACAGACCACCGACACUUAACGGCCCCAAGCCAAGAGGGUAUUGUAUUACUAAUAAUUAACUAGAAGACCAUACAAACCACACCGUUAACCCCACACUGGAGUGCCUAUAAGGAAAGACUAAAAGAAAAAGAAGGAACUCGGCAAACACAUUGAAGCCCCGCCUGUUUACCAAAAACAUCGCCUCUUGCUCACCAAAAAUAAGAGGUCCUGCCUGCCCAGUGACCAAAAGUUCAACGGCCGCGGUAUACUGACCGUGCAAAGGUAGCGUAAUCACUUGUCUUUUAAAUGGAGACCUGUAUGAAUGGCACGACGAGGGCUUGACUGUCUCCUUUCUCCAGUCAAUGAAAUUGAUCUUCCCGUGCAGAAGCGGGAAUACUAACAUAAGACGAGAAGACCCUGUGGAGCUUUAGACACCAAGGCAGCCCAAUCAUAACUCAGCCUGGCCCAACAGGUCAUAACGGUUGGUUCUCUGUCCACAUGUCUUUGGUUGGGGCGACCAGGGAGUACAAAAAAACCCCCCUGAGGAACGGGAACACCCCUUACACCUUUAGCUCAGGGCCACAGCCCUAAAUAUCAGAAAAUCUGACCCCCUAGAUCCAGCAACGCUGAUUAACGGACUAAGUUACCCCAGGGAUAACAGCGCAAUCCUCUUUUAGAGCCCAUAUCGACAAGGGGGUUUACGACCUCGAUGUUGGAUCAGGACAUCCUAAUGGUGCAGCCGCUAUUAAGGGUUUGUUUGUUCAACAAUUAAUAGUCCUACGUGAUCUGAGUUCAGACCGGAGUAAUCCAGGUCAGUUUCUAUCUAUGGUGUGUUCUUUCCUAGUACGAAAGGACCGAAAAGAAGGGGCCCAUGCAUAAAGCACGCCCCCGCCUCACCUAAUGAAAAAAACUAAAAUAGACAAGAGGCCAUACCACAAAACACCCAAGAAAAGGGUUU